rnacentral:rRNA from 1 species
CAGUCGCCGCGGGAAUACGAAGGGUGCAAGCGUUAAUCGGAAUUACUGGGCGUAAAGCGUGCGUAGGCGGUUUGUUAAGUCUGCUGUGAAAUCCCCGGGCUCAACCUGGGAAUGGCAGUGGAUACUGGCAAGCUAGAGUGUGUCAGAGGAUGGUGGAAUUCCCGGUGUAGCGGUGAAAUGCGUAGAGAUCGGGAGGAACAUCAGUGGCGAAGGCGGCCAUCUGGGACAACACUGACGCUGAGGCACGAAAGCGUGGGGAGCAAACAGGAUUAGAUACCCCUGUAGUCCCUGUCUCUUAUAC